AGUGUUAUAUACCUGGCUCUUUUUCACUCAAUAAUACAUUCUAGAAAUCUUUUCAUAUAGAGAGUUGCUUCAUUCUUUUUCAUUAGCUGUUUGCCAUUUAGGUUUCUGUAGAGAAAUUUUUAAGUCUGCCAGAUAUUCGUGGGGUUAUUACCCCUACCAUCAAUACAUGAAAUUGAUUCUUUCUCCACAGUCUUGACAAAGACUAUGUUGUUAUAUUUAGGAAUCUUUGCCUAUCUGAUUGGUGAAAUGUUAUCAGUGUAGUUUUAAUUUUCCUUUCCCUAAGAUAGGACAUAAUUGAGUUUCAGAGAGAUAGGUCAAAUUUAAGAGGCUAUGGAAUAAGUGAAUGGCAAGGAAGAGAAUGAAGGAAAUAGUAAUAGCCCAAAGGAACUGAAAUCUGACUGUAUUAAAAGGAAUUAGCUUGCUGACUAAUAGCGUGUGGGUUUAAUGAAGGUGUUUUUAAAUAGUAGGGACUUAUCUAGACCUGCUUAAAAUGAUAAUGAAAUAAGUCACUAGAAAAGGAGAGAUUGAAAAUUGUAGAGUUUGAGGGCAAAGUCACACAGGAGGCAGAAAGAAAUGGUAUCUCUGGCAGUUGGGAUGGAUAGGAGCUAAGUGGUGGGUGUGAACACUGAAGGACAGAAGGUUGUGGGUGGGGAGCAGAUGGCAGGCACCUUCUAAAGGCAGAGGAGGAGGAGGACUUUUGGAACAAGAAUUAAAAAGAGAAGGAUUAGAUUCACCAGUGGGAGGAGAAAAGCACAGGCCGCAGAUGCUGCAUCACUCACAGGCGUGGGGAUUCCUGCCUGCCAGAUCCCAGGGAUGCAGAUAAAAAGCGAAUGUUUGCUGCAUGAUUCAUACACGUGGAUAUUGAUUGAUUCAAUAUUUACUGGGCAUCUACUCUGUCAGGCACAUUGAUGUCACUCAGGAUUAACUGAGACAUGAGAUAGAGUGGAAGGCUACAAGCCAGAUGACAGAUGUAUGCUAGAUGUAUGUAUGAGGGAUUAGGAGUUGUAUAGAUGAUGGUGACAAGGGGAGAUAAGGGGUACGAGAGCCAGAUAGUUUGUUCCUUAUUGUGCCUUGUACCUCAAAGGAGAUGUGGUUUUAGAAACCUGUAGUAGAAAUACAUCAGUGUGCUUGAAAUUGGUAGAGGCAAUCUAUGGGAUACCGCCACAGUCUUUGGACUCAGGAGAAUAAGAACUCUGAUCUUGAUAAGGAAGCAGUAUCUGAAAAGAAUGAGAUAUGGGAGACAGCCCGAAGAUAGAAAGGGUGUUCUGGGAAGAGUUGAGAUAUAUUUAGUUUCAGAGGUACUGUGGAAACACUAGGAAGAGGAUGGGUCUCAGGGAAAAGGAUCACUGAGCAGUAGGAAGAUGACAGCGGAGGUGAAAAUUCUUCAUUUGAGCAGUGACCAAGAAUGACCUGAACGUAAGGCAGGAAGGAAUUAGCUGGUUUCACUUGUUCUAAGAGGAAUGCUGGUAUACUUUUUUUUUUAAGUUUAUUGCAGAAAAUUUCAAAUAGACACAAAAUAGAACAGUAUGGUGAACUCCUGUGUAUCCUUCACUAACAUCAACAAUGAUCAAUACUUUGCCAAUCUUGUUCAGUAAUCCCUGCCCCUACUUCCCACUUUCAUUUAUUCCUGAAGUAUUUUAAAGUUCCAGACAUUUUACUGUUUGACUUGUUAGCAUGUACGGAUUUUUUCUUCCUUUAAACAUAACCAUGAGGUCAUUGUCACAAUGAGAGGUGACAGCGUGCUGGCAGUCUUCACAGCCCUCGCUGGCUCUCAGCGCCUCCUCUGCCUGGGCUCCCACUUUGGCCGCACUUGAAGAGCCCUUCAGCUCACCGCUGCACUGUGGGAGCCCCUUUCUGGGCUGGACAAGGCCAGAGCCGGCUCCCUCAGCUUGAGAGGCGCGAGCGGGAACCGGGGCUGCGCGCGGCGCUUGCGGGCCAGCUAGAGUUCCGGUUGGGAGUGGGCUUGGCGGGCCCCGUACUCGGAGCAGCCGGCCGGCCCUGCCGGCCCGGGCAAUGAGGGGCUUAACACCCAGGCCAGCGGCUGCGGAAGGUGUACUGGGUCCCCCAGCAGUGCCAGCCCACCGGCGCUGCGCUCGAUUUCUCACCCGGCCUUAGCUGCCUUCCCGAGGGGCAGGGCUCGGGACCUGCAGCCCGUCAUGGCUGAGCCUUCCACCACCUCCAUGGGCUCCUGUGAGGCCCGAGCCUCCCCGACGAGCGCCACCCCCUGCUCCACGGCGCCCAGUCCCAUCGACCACCCAAGGGCUGAGAAGUGCGGGCGCACGGCGCGGGACUGGCAGGCAGCUCCACCUGCAGCCCCGGUGCAGGAUCCACUGGGUGAAGCCAUCUGGGCUCCUGAGUCUGAUCUGCUAGGAUCCAGCUUAAGAGAUCCAGUACUGGAGUCGGCAGAACUGGAGUAAAAUCCUGGUCCUUGUGCGCUGCUGCCCAGAGAGAGAGUGAAGCUACUGGCUCCUGUAAGGAAGAAUGACCAACUGGCAGACGGGCAGGGGGAGCCAGGAACCAGCUCGUGCCCAUAGAGAGAAAGAGUUAAGCUGCUAACUCUGAAAGCAAGGGAGAGCCAGCCCUGCAGCUGUGUGUGGGAGCAGCUGGCCCAAGCAGCCGGCUCAAGCAGCCGAGACAGGGUGGACAGUGUGAGAGACCUGGUGUAAGUAAGCUAUGUGAGUAAGCUGCUGAUGAGAGCUGCUGCUGAAUAAAAUCAUCUUUCACCUGCCUACGUCCCCCACAAGUGUUCUGUUAGCUAUUUGCCCAGGGACCCACUCCCUUGUACCUCAGCAUGGGCUGGACCCAAACCCUAAACCUAACAAUUGGCAAUGAGAAUGGGAUGAGGUGAGUAGGUCUUCAGCCUGUGAGGGUUCCUGGGUUGGCUAUGUGGCUGCAGCAUGGGCUAUGGUACCCAGUGGCAGCUGUGCUGCGAGGAUGGGCUUCAGUGGAAACACGGGAGGCAGCGGAUGGGUCCCCCGCAAGUGUGGAGAAGGCGCUGAAGCACCUGGAAGUGCACAGCACUGAGAUGCAGCAUGCUUUUACCACCAGAGUCACACGGAUGUUUGUGACUUUGCUGCAGGAAGUGCCUGCCCAGUCCCUGCGGGAUGCACGCAGGGAGGAAGAACCUCUGUUACAGGCUCACCCAAUGGUCUGCCAGAAAAUAGAGCAUGAGCAACCGUUGGGCCCCAAGGGUGGGCCAGAGACCCCCUACUGUGGUGGAGCACACUUCCUAUGGUGUCUGUGCCCCUGCUAAGUUGCAGGAGUUAAGCAAGUAAUGUUGGCAGUCGUGUACAGACUUGGUGCAAGUCAUUCGGGAGAAGGAUCUUGCUGCGCAACCUGGUCCUGCCGGAGUGUUCCAGUGCAAAGAGUACCUGCUGCAGUUGGUGGAAGUGUAAAGCCUUUUGUGUUUGAUAAGAGAACUGGCCAAGGUGCCUGGCUUGGUAGGGGACACCAGACAACCAAAGGCCAUGUAUGGACUUGGCAAUCCACUGGUCCCUGGACCCGGACAAGUUUCCAGGCAAGGCUGAAUAGACAGCUAUGAAAGCUGGUCAGUGAAAGUGAAACCUGUGUCUUUGCACCUGGGCAUCGGCUGCUUGGCUCUCCACUUAUGCACUGUGUAUGUCUCUUGCAUGCCUGAGGACAUUCUUGGGGGUGGAUGUUUUGCAAGACUUGACAGCUGUGCCACCUGUCAUGGACUUGAUGGACCGUUUGACAACAGAACUGGGAUGGUGCCACUGUGUGGUGGACUUGACCAAUGCAUUCCUCUCAACCAGCAUUGCUCCAGAGAGCCAGGGACAGUUUACCUUCAUGGGAGGGCGACAAUGGACUUUCACAGUGUUGCUGCAGGGCUAUAUGUAUAGCCCCAUUAUAUAUCAUUUUCUUAUUAAUGAUGUUAUGUUAACCUCUAGUUCUCUUGCUGGUUUGGAAGUGGCAACACCCCUCUUGCCUGGGAUUGGGAUGAUGAGGCUGAAACAGCCCUUCUGAUGACAUAAACCCUGUGGGUAGUUAACCGGGGGUGCCCAUUUAAACUAGAUGUGCAUGUAACCACAAAUAGAGUUGGCUAGGGCCUAUGGCAGUAUAUGGAGUGCUUGGAAGUGCCAGUCAGCUUUUAGUCCCAGCUAUGAAAGGGAGCUGAGCCCCAGUGUUCAUUAAUAAAGAAGCAGUUAAUAACCAUAUAUGCCGCCCUUCAGGUUCAUAAGAGCGUGGCCAGACGGGUUACAGCCGUGCAGAUGGCUUACCCAAUAGUGGGAUGGGUGCGUUCAUGAGCAACGACCCCCCAGACUGGGACAGCACAGACAUCCACUUUAGCGAAGCGGGGCACCUACUUAGAGCAGUGGAGUACGCUAAGUAUAAGUCCCUUAGCAGCAGAGUUGCAAGAGGUCUUGGGACCUGUAGUCCUAAUGCAAGAUAAGGCCAUGGGGCCUGAGGCACCCGUAGACCCUGAGCCUUCACUGUUAGAAAGGGUGUUCUUGUAUUCCUAAUAGGACAUGGUACACAGCUAUGUCUAGUUGGGGUGCCACUGCUGCCUGGACUGCUGGUGCAGUCCAGCCUGGUACUGACACCAUAUGGUUUGAAACCAGGUGUAGACAGAGGGGCAGUCAGGAUUAUCAAUAUCACUGUUUUACAGCUUCACAUCUUAGCUGACUGGAAAGUCUUCCAGGAGCAGUAAUAAUACAUGGAGCUGUCAUCUCCUAUGAUAACAAUGCCUUCUUCUGGAAUACCUUCUGUAGGAGCUGCCUGAGGCUGUUUUACAGUUAACUUUUUUUUAAUAAGUAGAAGUACACUCUAAAAUAUUAAAUUGGUGCAAAAGUAAUUGCAGUUUUUGCCAUUGCAAUUACUUUUGCACCAACCUAAUAACAAUAAAAAGUAUGGUAAAUACACAAACCAGUGACAUAGUACUUUCCUA